rnacentral:misc_RNA from 1 species
UCCGGCUUAGCACCGGCAGUCCCCUUAGAGUUCCCAACUAAAUGGUGGCAACUAAGGGCGAGGGUUGCGCUCGUUGCGGGACUUAACCCAACAUCUCGCGACACGAGCUGACGACAGCCAUGCAGCACCUGUGCACCGGUCCCCGAAGGGAAAGCUGCGUCUCCGCAGUUAUCCGGGCAUGUCAAAAGGUGGUAAGGUUCUGCGCGUUGCGUCGAAUUGAACCACAUG